rnacentral:tRNA from 1 species
GGGGGUGUGGCUCAGGGAUCGAGUUCUUGCCUAGCAUGCAUGAAAGCCUGGGUUCAAUACCCAGCACUGCAA